rnacentral:rRNA from 1 species
UACGAAGGGGGCUAGCGUUGCUCGGAAUUACUGGGCGUAAAGGGCGCGUAGGCGGAUGAUUAAGUCGAGGGUGAAAGCCCGGGGCUCAACCUCGGAACUGCCUUUGAUACUGGUCAUCUUGAGUACGGGAGAGGUGUGUGGAACUCCGAGUGUAGAGGUGAAAUUCGUAGAUAUUCGGAAGAACACCAGUGGCGAAGGCGACACACUGGCCCGUUACUGACGCUGAGGCGCGAAAGCGUGGGGAGCAAACAGG